CUGGAUUCUUUUUCAGGGAAGGGUGUGGUGGAGACUUCCACCUUGAGUCCAGCAACCUUGGAGCUACAGUGCCCUCCCUGUCCAGGAAGCCUCCUCCUUCUUUGGGUGGCUGCAGCCUGCUGAGCCCUAAGUGGCCGGAAGAGAAGUGUAAGGGGAGGGCCCCAGAAGCUUCUCUCCAGCCUGACUCCUGCAGUCUCCUCUCCUGGGAGGUGCAAACAAAAUUUCCUCGAGGUGGUCCUGAUGGAAGCUGGAGAACCACUGUUAUACUGACUGUCCAUGAUGACGAUAAAGUUCCUGUCCUCAGCUUACUGAAGGAAGGGUCUUGGAAAGCAUUCAGGUGAAUAUACCAUCUAUUUGCUAUUUACUCAUUCAUUGGUUCAUUCAUUCAUUCAGCAGACAUCUGUUGGGGUACCUUUGAGCCAUGGGAAUUCAGGCUACUGCAUGGCCAUUGUUUCUGUGUGCUCACACUCACACAAAAAUGUGAACACUCUUGUCCACACACAUUUACUUUCACUCAUGUCCCGAUCUCGAGGAAGC
ensembl:lincRNA